GAUCUCCUACGGGAGCAGCAGUGGGGAAUCUUGGACAAUGGGGGCAACCCUGAUCCAGCCAUGCCGCGUGAGUGAUGAAGGCCUUAGGGUCGUAAAGCUCUUUCGCCUGUGAUGAUAAUGACAGUAGCAGGUAAAGAAACCCCGGCUAACUCCGUGCCAGCAGCCGCGGUAAUACGGAGGGGGUUAGCGUUGUUCGGAAUUACUGGGCGUAAAGCGCGCGUAGGCGGAUUAGUCAGUUAGAGGUGAAAUUCCCAGGGCUCAACCCUGGAACUGCCUUUAAUACUGCUAGUCUUGAGUUCGAGAGAGGUGAGUGGAAUUCCGAGUGUAGAGGUGAAAUUCGUAGAUAUUCGGAGGAACACCAGUGGCGAAGGCGACA
rnacentral:rRNA from 1 species